rnacentral:tRNA from 1 species
GUUUCUAUAGCUUAAACUAAAGCAUAGCUUUGAAGCAGCUAAGAUAAGAACACUUUAGAAACA